CCUACGGGGGGCAGCAGUGAGGAAUAUUGGUCAAUGGUCGGGAGACUGAACCAGCCAAGCCGCGUGAGGGAUGAAGGUACAGAGUAUCGUAAACCUCUUUUGUCAGGGAACAAAGGCGGGGACGUGUCCCCGGAUGAGUGUACCUGAAGAAAAAGCAUCGGCUAACUCCGUGCCAGCAGCCGCGGUAAUACGGAGGAUGCGAGCUUUAUCCGGGUUUAUUGGGUUUAAAGGGUGGGCAGGCGGUCUGUUAAGUCAGCGGGCAAAGCCGGGGGCUCAACCCCGGCCCGCCGUUGAAACUGGCAGCCUCGAGUUGGAGAGAGGUAUGCGGAAUGCGCGGUGUAGCGGUGAAAUGCAUAGAUAUCGCGCAGAACUCCGAUUGCGAAGGCAGCAUGCCGGCUCCACACUGACGCUGAGGCACGAAAGCGUGGGUAUCGAACAGGAUUAGAUACCCGAGUAGUC
rnacentral:rRNA from 1 species